rnacentral:rRNA from 1 species
CCCGCCGGCGACCGGCGCACGGGUGAGUAACACGUAUGCAACCUGGCCGCCACAGGGGGAUAACCCGCGGAAACGCGGCCUAAUACCCCGUGACGCCACCGGAGGGCAUCCUCCGGUGGCCAAAGGAGCGAUCCGGUGGCGGAUGGGCAUGCGGCGCAUUAGCUAGACGGCGGGGUGACGGCCCACCGUGGCGACGAUGCGUAGGGGUUCUGAGAGGAAGGCCCCCCACACUGGGACUGAGACACGGACCAGACUCCUACGGGAGGCAGCAG